rnacentral:rRNA from 1 species
GACGAACGCUGGCGGCGUGCUUAACACAUGCAAGUCGAACGGAAAGGCCCUGCUUUUGUUGGGUGCUCGAGUGGCGAACGGGUGAGUAACACGUGAGUAAACUGCCCUUGACUUUGUGAUAACUUCAGGAAACUGGGGCUAAUACCGGAUAGGAGCUCCUGCUCCAUGGGGUGGGUUGGAAAGUUUCGGCGGUUGGGGAUGGACUCGCGGCUUAUCAGCUUGUUGGUGGGGUAGUGGCUUACCAAGGCUUUGACGGGUAGCCGGCCUGAGAGGGUGACCGGCCACAUUGGGACUGAGAUACGGCCCAGACUCCUACGGGAGGCAGCAGUGGGGAAUAUUGCACAAUGGGCGGAAGCCUGAUGCAGCAACGCCGCGUGCGGGAUGACGGCCUUCGGGUUGUAAACCGCUUUCGCCUGUGACGAAGCGUGAGUGACGGUAAUGGGUAAAGAAGCACCGGCUAACUACGUG